rnacentral:sRNA from 1 species
GCUGCCGUAAAACCGGCAGCCGGGCGUGGAAACCCGAGUUACUCAAUGGCGACACCAGACGCGCUAAGCGUCUUUUUU